rnacentral:rRNA from 1 species
UGGUCAAGUUGUUAAGAGCACAUGGUGGAUGUCUAGGCAUCAGGAGCCGAUGAAGGACGUGGGAGGCUGCGAUAAGCCUCGGGGAGCUGUCGAC